rnacentral:rRNA from 1 species
GACGAACGCUGGCGGCGUGCCUAAUACAUGCAAGUUGAGCGCUGAAGGUUGGUACUUGUACCAACUGGAUGAGCAGCGAACGGGUGAGUAACGCGUGGGGAAUCUGCCUUUGAGCGGGGGACAACAUUUGGAAACGAAUGCUAAUACCGCAUAAAAACUUUAAACACAAGUUUUAAGUUUGAAAGAUGCAAUUGCAUCACUCAAAGAUGAUCCCGCGUUGUAUUAGCUAGUUGGUGAGGUAAAGGCUCACCAAGGCGAUGAUACAUAGCCGACCUGAGAGGGUGAUCGGCCGCAUUGGGACUGAGACACGGCCCAAAGUCCUACGGGAGGCAGCAGUAGGGAAUCUUCGGCCAUGGACGAAAGUCUGACCGAGAAACGCCGCGGGAGUGAAGAAGGUUUUCGGAUCGUAAAACUCUGUUGGUAGAGAAGAACGUUGGUGAGAGUGGAAAGCUCAUCAAGUGACGGUAACUACCCAGAAAGGGACGGCUAACUACGUG